CUGGUCGACACCGGAAGUGAUGUUUGC
rnacentral:sRNA from 1 species